rnacentral:rRNA from 1 species
UACGUAGGGUGCGAGCGUUGUCCGGAAUUAUUGGGCGUAAAGAGCUCGUAGGCGGCUUGUCGCGUCGGAUGUGAAAGCCCGGGGCUUAACUCCGGGUCUGCAUUCGAUACGGGCAGGCUAGAGUGUGGUAGGGGAGAUCGGAAUUCCUGGUGUAGCGGUGAAAUGCGUAGAUAUCGGGAGGAACACCUGAGGCGAAGGCGGGCUACUGGGCCGAUACUGACGCUGAUGCGCGAAAGCCAGGGGAGCGAACGGG